rnacentral:rRNA from 1 species
GGGCUCACACAAGCGGUGGAGCAUGUGGCUUAAUUCGAGGCUACGCGAAGAACCUUAUCCUGGACUUGACAUGUGCGAAAGCGCUGGGAAGUAGCGUGCGGAAACGUUACGCGAACGGUAUCCAAUCCGGAACCCAGUACAGGUGCUGCAUGGCUGUCGUCAGCUCGUGUCGUGAGAUGUCGGGUUAAGUCCCAUAACGAGCGAAACCCCUGCCCUUAGUUGCUAGGCGUAAGCCGAGGACUCUAGGGGGACUGCCGGUGUCAAACCGGAGGAAGGUGGGGAUGACGUCAAGUCCUCAUGGCCUUUAUGUCCAGGGCUGCACACGUGCUACAAUGGCGUGAACAAAGGGACGCAAACGCGCGAGCGGGAGCAAAUCCCAAAAAACACGCCCCAGUUCAGAUCGCAGGCUGCAACUCGCCUGCGUGAAGUUGGAAUCGCUAGUAAUCGCGGGUCAGCAACACCGCGGUGAAUGUGUUCCUGAGCCUU